AAGUCAUACACAUCUGGGAUGGCAUGAGGGUAAAUAAAUGAUGAGAGAACUUUCAUUUUUGGGCAAAUUAUCACAAUAAUUAACCCCUUAUGGAUGUUUAAUGAAUAUUUAAUAUUUGAGCCCACACACAAAACUGACAUGUUUUUCAUUUUAGCUGCGCAAACCCUUGAUAGAGAAGAAACGCAGAGAGCAGAUAAACUCAAGCCUUGAGCAACUUAAGGGCAUUAUGGUGGAUGUCUACAAUUUGGAUCAAUCUAAAGUGGAGAAGGCUGAUGUUCUUGAGAUAACAGUUCAGCACAUGGAAAACCUUCAAAAAGGCAAUGGACAAGAUAUUAAUAUCUGAAAUACCAGGAGAAACCAAAGUUAACAACAUAUUCCACAGUUAAUGUUGCCUACAAAUUCAGCAUCAUCUGGUAGUCACGGACCAGGCACUGGGUUUGAGUCUCGACAAAGAUACAGUAGUGGUUAUAUUCAGUACAUGCACGAGGUGCAUAACUUGCUCCUGAGCUGCCCUCGGAUGGACACGUCUCUUGGCACAUGUCUGCUAAACCAUUUGCUGAAAUCUUUGCCAAAUAUUAGUACUGAGGCCAGUAGCACGAGUUCUGUUGGCACCUCCAGUCCUCUUCCAGUAUCCCCUACCCAUUCCCCUCUAAGCCUGCCCUCCUUACAGUCCCACCUGCACACUCCUCCCUCCUCUCCCUCCCACUCUCCUAGAGUCCAACUCAUUAGAGAGCGAAGUUACGCCAUACUCAGAGAACAGCUCUCUCCACCCAGGUCUCCUUCCCCUCAGCCUCUGGGACAAUCAGCCCUUCCCCCGUUCUUUCCUUGGGGUGAUCCCUCCAUGUGGAGGCCCUGGUGAAUGAAUCCAGCCCAGCCCCCAUUUGCCUUUUCUGGCCUGCCCUCCCAUAUCAAAUCGUUUCCAUUACAUUUGAUCUCUUGGGAGGUUGGAGUGCUUUCCAUUCAGAGGGGGCUGGAUACAUAAUAUUGGGUUACACAGUCUCUUGGUGUUUUGUGGUAUCAUUUGAAGCACUGUACUGCAUGUUUGGUUGAUUAUGUUAUUUGCAUGCUUUGAGGGUAUGAACAAAAAUGUGUGAUGACACCAAAGUCACCCUCUUUGACUCACAUUUCGAUAUUGUAUGUUAGUAUUCAUCUAGAGGAAUUGCUGUCUUGACCACUUUUAGCACAACUUAAUGUCUUGUAUUGGGCAAGAUUAGAUUACCUUAGUUAGGGGGCUUUGUUUGUGUUGAUUUUUUUUUUCUCUCUGACCUUUUUAUUUUUUCAUAUUAUUUUACAUAAUUAAGUUGUAGAAAUUGUAUAUUUUGGGCAUGUAGUAAAGGGGUUCUGUUGAAAUUUUAUGCAUGUUUCUUACCUUAAAUGCAAAUCUCUGUAAUCUGUGGACCAAUAGUGGCUUAGAAUGGGUAAAAUGGAGGAGAUGAACAUUUGUGAAAAGUACUCCAUCCUUGUAUAUUACAAGAAGAGGGGAGUCAGACUAGUACCUCAUAUUGAAGCAGUUAAAACUGAUUUUCUUUACUAAAAAUCAGAACUGUGUAUUGAUUUUAUACACUCAAAACAUUUAAAAAUGAUGAAUGUGAUAAUUGUGAUGUUGGAAGAAUAUAAAUAAAUGUAUAUGACAUUGAUCAGUUUAGACCUUUGCCAUUU